AAUACCACAACAGAAUCACAAGUGUUGGGUGGGCUUUUUGUUUGUUAGUUUGUUUUUUCUUGUCACAACGAGAAUACAGCCAACUGCAAACUAUCUGCUGAUGGCAGUGGUGAGAACCAGGCUGGCCUCCACACUGAGCUGGAUAUACAAGGCUGAAGAUUAGGGGAGCUCCCUAAGCCCCCUCUCUCCUAAACAAUUAUAACUUAAGUGGAGCUUCUAAGUUGACUCUGAGUUCCCCGAGAGCUGUUGUCAAGAAGCGAUGCCAGAGAACGUCUGCCCACUUCUCCCCAACACCAGUGCUACGGAUGUUAUAAAGCAGCUGUGAGCUCAUUCACCUGAAGACAACUCUUACCUGCAGGAGUGGAAGGCAGAUCAGGACCGCUGGUGGGGGGUUCCAUGGGCCCCGGGUACGGCGGGGGGGGAAGCUGCAUGUAACCCAUAUCUGCACCCCCAACAGGAGGGGGAG